rnacentral:rRNA from 1 species
GACGAACGCUGGCGGCGUGCCUAAUACAUGCAAGUAGAACGCUGAAGGAGGAGCUUGCUCUUCUGGAUGAGUUGCGAACGGGUGAGUAACGCGUAGGUAACCUGCCUGGUAGUGGGGGAUAACUAUUGGAAACGAUAGCUAAUACCGCAUAAUAACAGUUGUUGCAUGACAACUGUUUGAAAGGUGCAAUUGCAUCACUACCAGAUGGACCUGCGUUGUAUUAGCUAGUUGGUGGGGUAACGGCUCACCAAGGCGACGAUACAUAGCCGACCUGAGAGGGUGAUCGGCCACACUGGGACUGAGACACGGCCCAGACUCCUACGGGAGGCAGCAGUAGGGAACCUUCGGCAAUGGACGAAAGUCUGACCGAGCAACGCCGCGUGAGUGAAGAAGGUUUUCGGAUCGUAAAGCUCUGUUGUAAGAGAAGAACGAGUGUGAGAGUGGAAAGUUCACACUG